AUGGUCUUCAGGUUCUGCAGAUAAGGCCCUGGAAUGAGUUAAACCCUGUUCCAGUAUCUAGUCAUGGUACAGCAAGUACAGAUAAACUAUGGCUGCUUUUGGCUAUUGACAGCUAUUUCAACAGUCCGUGUCUUCAUAGUGCAUCAAGCAUCUCAUCGCACAGUUGAAGUCUUGUUAAUAUCUCUGAGAAACAAUGGACUGUUUACUCUGCAGGACAGUUUAGCAAAACAAAGAAGUGGUGUUGCAAUUCUGAGUUGAAACUCAUCUUCCCCUACCCAUCCUCCACCAGCAUCUUUUUUCCGUGGCAAUAGUGAAGAAAUUCGACAUUC